rnacentral:rRNA from 1 species
ACAAUGGGGGGUACAGAGGGCCGCUACCACGCGAGUGGAUGCCAAUCCCUAAAACCCCUCUCAGUUCGGACUGGAGUCUGCAACCCGACUCCACGAAGCUGGAUUCGCUAGUAAUCGCGCAUCAGCCACGGCGCGGUGAAUACGUUCCCGGGCCUUGUACACACCGCCCGUCAAGCCAUGGGAGCCGGGGGUACCUGAAGUGCGUAACCGCGAGGAUCCGCCCUAGGGUAAAACUGGUGACUGGGGCUAAGUCGUAACAAGGUAAC